rnacentral:rRNA from 1 species
CCUACGGGAGGCUGCAGCUAAGAAUAUUCCGCAAUGGACGGAAGUCUGACGGAGCGACGCCGCGUGGAUGAAGAAGGCUGAAAAGUUGUAAAAUCCUUUUGUUGAUGAAGAAUAAGGGGAAGAGGGAAUGCUUCUCUGAUGACGGUAAUCGGCGAAUAAGCCCCGGCUAAUUACGUGCCAGCAGCCGCGGUAACACGUAAGGGGCGAGCGUUGUUCGGAAUUAUUGGGCGUAAAGGGCAUGUAGGCGGUUGUAUAAGCCUGAUGUGAAAUCCUGAGGCUUAACCUCAGAAUAGCAUUGGGUACUGUAUAGCUUGAAUUACGGAAGGGAAACUGGAAUUCCAAGUGUAGGGGUGGAAUCUGUAGAUAUUUGGAAGAACACCGGUGGCGAAGGCGGGUUUCUGGCCGAUAAUUGACGCUGAGAUGCGAAAGUGUGGGGAUCGAACAGGAUUAGAUACCCUGGUAGUC